rnacentral:rRNA from 1 species
CCUACGGGAGGCAGCAGUAAGGAAUAUUGCGCAAUGGACGAAAGUCUGACGCAGCAACGCCGCGUGCAGGAAGAAGGCCCUUCGGGUCGUAAACUGCUGUAGCAGGGGAAUAAUGAUCUGCCACAGGUGGAUUUGAAGGUACCCUGAAAGUAAGCUCCGGCUAACUACGUGCCAGCAGCCGCGGUAAU